rnacentral:rRNA from 1 species
CCCUACGCUGAGUUACCAGCACGUAAAGGUGGGGACGUCUCAGUGGACUGCCGGCGACAAGCCGGAGGAGGGUGGGGACGGACGUCAAGUCAUCAUGGCCCUCCAUGUCCAGGGCGACACACGUGCUACAAUGGCCGGCACAACGGGAAGCGACGGCGCGAGUCGUAGCGGAUCCCUCAAAGCCGGUCCCAGUUCGGAUUGCAGUCUGCAACUCGACUGCAUGAAGCCGGAAUCGCUAGUAAUCGUGGAUCAGCCAAGCCGCGGUGAAUACGUUCCCGGGCCUU